rnacentral:lncRNA from 1 species
CCCACUGCCCAUUCCUCUCAUAUUGGCACAUCUGCUGUCCAUUGGGGGUUCUCAGUUUCCUCCCCCAGACAGCCCUACCUGUGCCAGAGAGCUAGAAAGAAGGUCAUAAAGGGUUAAAAAUCCAUAACUAAAGGUUGUACACAUAGAUGGGCACACUCACAGAGAGAAGUGUGCAUGUACACACACCACACACACACACACACACACACACACACACACACACAGAAAUAUAAACACAUGCGUCACAUGGGCAUUUCAGAUGAUCAGCUCUGUAUCUGGUUAAGUCGGUUGCUGGGAUGCACCCUGCACUAGAGCUGAAAGGAAAUUUGACCUCCAAGCAGCCCUGACAGGUUCUGGGCCCGGGCCCUCCCUUUGUGCUUUGUCUCUGCAGUUCUUGCGCCCUUUAUAAGGCCAUCCUAGUCCCUGCUGGCUGGCAGGGGGCUGGAUGGGGGGCAGGACUAAUACUGAGUGAUUGCAGAGUGCUUUAUAAAUAUCACCUUAUUUUAUCGAAACCCAUCUGUGAAACUUUCACUGAGGAAAAGGCCUUGCAGCGGUAGAAGAGGUUGAGUCAGCAGGGACUUGGGUUCCCUGUGUGUGAGGGGGGCAUUCUUGCCUGCCAGCUGCUCCCGAGGUGGCCUUGAGAAGGAAGAAGCAGGAUGACAGAGCCUGAGCAGCGGAACCAGCCUGCACCCUCCCUUCUGGCCCAGCGACCUGGGCUGUGGCUGAGACAAUAAUGAGGCCAGAAGUAGCCGGAGCCUGUCAGGAAGGGCAGGGGAGGACUGUGGGGUCUGGGCUCUGUCGCUGUAACCAUCUGCUCCCAGGCUGUGUGCAGAAAAUGGCAUUUACACUAUUGUGCAGCUCAUUCUC